UGGUAGUCCACGCCGUAAACGAUGUCUACUUGGAGGUUGUGGCCUUGAGCCGUGGCUUUCGGAGCUAACGCGUUAAGUAGACCGCCUGGGGAGUACGGUCGCAAGAUUAAAACUCAAAUGAAUUGACGGGGGCCCGCACAAGCGGUGGAGCAUGUGGUUUAAUUCGAUGCAACGCGAAGAACCUUACCUACUCUUGACAUCCAGAGAACUUUCCAGAGAUGGAUUGGUGCCUUCGGGAACUCUGAGACAGGUGCUGCAUGGCUGUCGUCAGCUCGUGUUGUGAAAUGUUGGGUUAAGUCCCGCAACGAGCGCAACCCUUAUCCUUGUUUGCCAGCGAGUAAUGUCGGGAACUCCAGGGAGACUGCCGGUGAUAAACCGGAGGAAGGUGGGGACGACGUCAAGACAUCAUGGCCCUUACGAGUAGGGCUACACACGUGCUACAAUGGCGCAUACAGAGGGCGGCCAACUUGCGAAAGUGAGCGAAUCCCAAAAAGUGCGUCGUAGUCCGGAUUGGAGUCUGCAACUCGACUCCAUGAAGUCGGAAUCGCUAGUAAUCGUGGAUCAGAAUGCCACGGUGAAUACGUUCCCGGGCCUUGUACACACCGCCCGUCACACCAUGGGAGUGGGCUGCAAAAGAAGUAGGUAGUUAACCUUCGGGGGG
rnacentral:rRNA from 1 species